rnacentral:rRNA from 1 species
ACAUGCCUACAACAUAGCGUUAAUGCAUUGGAUCCCAUUAGAACUCCACAAUUAAGUGCGCUCAGGCUAGAGUAGCACUGAGAUGGGUGAAGGAGACUCUUUAAGAAGCAUAGC